GGAAGUAAAAGUGUAACAAGGUUUCCGUAGGUGAACCUGCGGAAGGAUCAUUAUUGUAUAACCGAGGUGCGAGGGCUGUCGCUGACCCGAAAGGUCGUGCACGCCCGAGUGCCCUCACACACAUCCAUCUCACCCCUAUGUGCACCACCGCGUGGGUCCCCCUUUGGCUUGUUCGGAGGGGGGCUUACGUUUUCACACAAACUUUGUAUGCAGUGUAGAAUGUAUCUUUUGUUUUUGCGAUCACGCAAUCAAUACAACUUUCAACAACGGAUCUCUUGGCUCUC
rnacentral:misc_RNA from 1 species